ACACGUGGGUAACCUGCCUGUAAGACUGGGAUAACUCCGGGAAACCGGGGCUAAUACCGGAUGCUUGUUUGAACCGCAUGGUUCAGACAUAAAAGGUGGCUUCGGCUACCACUUACAGAUGGACCCGCGGCGCAUUAGCUAGUUGGUGAGGUAACGGCUCACCAAGGCGACGAUGCGUAGCCGACCUGAGAGGGUGAUCGGCCACACUGGGACUGAGACACGGCCCAGACUCCUACGGGAGGCAGCAGUAGGGAAUCUUCCGCAAUGGACGAAAGUCUGACGAAGCAACGCCGCGUGAGUGAUGAAGGUUUUCGGAUCGUAAAGCUCUGUUGUUAGGGAAGAACAAGUGCCGUUCAAAUAGGGCGGCACCUUGACGGUACCUAACCAGAAAGCCACGGCUAACUACGUGCCAGCAGCCGCGGUAAUACGUAGGUGGCAAGCGUUGUCCGGAAUUAUUGGGCGUAAAGGGCUCGCAGGCGGUUUCUUAAGUCUGAUGUGAAAGCCCCCGGCUCAACCGGGGAGGGUCAUUGGAAACUGGGGAACUUGAGUGCAGAAGAGGAGAGUGGAAUUCCACGUGUAGCGGUGAAAUGCGUAGAGAUGUGGAGGAACACCAGUGGCGAAGGCGACUCUCUGGUCUGUAACUGACGCUGAGGAGCGAAAGCGUGGGGAGCGAACAGGAUUAGAUACCCUGGUAGUCCACGCCGUAAACGAUGAGUGCUAAGUGUUAGGGGGUUUCC
rnacentral:rRNA from 1 species